rnacentral:ncRNA from 2 species
GGUGCCACCUCGGGGUGCCGCAAGCCGGGCUGAGAUGCGAUCGCAAACCCGUUGAACCUGAACCGGUUAAGACCGGCGGAGGGAAGGUGACAGGAUGAUCC